rnacentral:rRNA from 1 species
CCUACGGGAGUCAGCAGUGAGGAAUAUUGGACAAUGGCCGUAAGGCUGAACCAGCCAAGUCGCGUGAGGGAAGAAUGCCCUCUGGGUUGUAAGCCUCUUUUAUGCGGGGAUAGAGGUGUGCACGUGUCGCUGUUUGCAGGUACCGCAUGAAUAAGGACCGGCUAAGUCCGUGCCAGCGGCCGCGGUAAUACGGAAGGUCCGGGCGUUAUCCGGAUUGAUUGGGGUUGAGGGGAGCGUAGGCCGGUCUUUAAGCUUGACGUGAAAUUUUGUGUCUCAACCAUGAGAGUUCGGCGGGGACUGGAGAGCUUGAGUGCGCGGAAGGCAGGCGGAAUUCCUGGUGUAGCGGUGAAAUGCUUAGAUAUCACGAAGAACACCGAUUGCGAAGGCAGCCUGCCGCAGCGUUACUGACGCUGAAGCUCGAAAGCGCGGGUAGCGAACAGGAUUAGAUACCCGUGUAGUC